UACGUAGGGUCCGAGCGUUGUCCGGAAUUAUUGGGCGUAAAGAGCUCGUAGGCGGCCUGUCGCGUCUGCUGUGAAAGUCCGGGGCUUAACUCCGGGUGUGCAGUGGAUACGGGCAGGCUUGAGGUAGGCAGGGGAGACUGGAAUUCCUGGUGUAGCGGUGAAAUGCGCAGAUAUCAGGAGGAACACCGGUGGCGAAGGCGGGUCUCUGGGCCUUACCUGACGCUGAGGAGCGAAAGCGUGGGGAGCGAACAGG
rnacentral:rRNA from 1 species